rnacentral:rRNA from 1 species
ACUCAAAGGAAUUGACGGGGGCCCGCACAAGCGGCGGAGCGUGCGGUUUAAUUCGACGCGACGCGCAAAACCUUACCCAGGCUUGACAUGCCCCUGCAGAGCCGGGAAACCGGUUGGCCUUCGAGGGUGGGGCAAAGGUGCUGCAUGGCUGUCGUCAGCUCGUGCCGUGAGGUGUUGGGUUAAGUCCCGCAACGAGCGCAACCCCCGCCGCCAGUUGAACAUUCUCUGGCGGGACCGCCCCGCGAGGGGAGGAAGGAGGGGAUGAUGUCAAGUCAGCAUGGCCCUUACGCCUGGGGCGACACGCACGCUACAAUGGCCAGGACAACGGGUUGCCAAGGCGCGAGCCGGAGCUAAUCCCCCAAACCUGGUCUCAGUUCGGAUCGGGGGCUGAAACCCGCCCCCGUGAAGCCGGAGUCGCUAGUAACCGUGGGUCAGCAUUACCGCGGUGAAUGUGUUCCCGGGCCUUGUACACACCGCCCGU